rnacentral:rRNA from 1 species
CAGUCGCCGCGGGAAUACGUAGGUGGCAAGCGUUGUCCGGAAUUAUUGGGCGUAAAGGGCUCGCAGGCGGUUUCUUAAGUCUGAUGUGAAAGCCCCCGGCUCAACCGGGGAGGGUCAUUGGAAACUGAGAAACUUGAGUGCAGAAGAGGAGAGUGGAAUUCCACGUGUAGCGGUGAAAUGCGUAGAGAUGUGGAGGGACACCAGUGGCGAAGGCGACUCUCUGGUCUGUAACUGACGCUGAGGAGCGAAAGCGUGGGGAGCGAACAGGAUUAGAUACCCGCGUAGUCCCUGUCUCUUAUAC